UGGCUCAGGAUGAACGCUAGCGGCAGGCCUAAUACAUGCAAGUCGAACGCUCAGUAGCAAUACUGGGAGUGGCGCACGGGUGCGUAACGCGUACACAAUCUACCUCUAAGCGGGGGACACCUCCUGGAAACGGGGAUUAAUACCGCAUAAUAUGCCGAAGUCGCAUGACUUUGGUAUUAAAGCAGCAAUGCACUUAGAGAUGAGUGUGCGUCCCAUUAGGUAGUUGGUGAGGUAACGGCUCACCAAGCCUAUGAUGGGUAGCCGGUCUGAGAGGAUGGUCGGCCACACGGGCACUGAGACACGGGCCCGACUCCUACGGGAGGCAGCAGUAAGGAAUAUUGGUCAAUGGUGGAAACACUGAACCAGCCAUGCCGCGUGGAGGAAUAAGGUCCUACGGAUUGUAAACUCCUUUUGACGAGGAAGAAAAUGUUAGAUUUAUCUAAUUUUGACGGUACUCGUAGAAUAAGCACCGGCUAACUCCGUG
rnacentral:rRNA from 1 species